AGAGUUUGAUCCUGGCUCAGGAUGAACGCUAGCGACAGGCUUAACACAUGGCAAGUCGAGGGGCAGCGGGAGUAGCAAUACGUCCGCCGGCGACCGGCGCACGGGUGCGUAACGCGUAUGCAACCUGCCUGUAAGCGGUGGAUAGCCUCUCGAAAGAGAGAUUAAUACGCCGUGUGGACACCGACCCGCAUGAGUUGGUGUUUAAAACCUUCGGGGCUUACGGAUGGGCAUGCGUUCCAUUAGGCAGUUGGUGAGGCAACGGCUCACCAAACCUACGGAUGGGAUAGGGGUCCUGAGAGGGAGGUCCCCCACACUGGUACUGAGACACGGACCAGACUCCUACGGGAGGCAGCAGUGAGGAAUAUUGGUCAAUGGGCGGAAGCCUGAACCAGCCAAGUCGCGUGAAGGAAGAAUGUGUUCUGCAUUGUAAACUUCUUUAGCCGGGGAAUAAAGUGCGCCACGCGUGGCGUUUUGUAUGUACCCGGAGAAUAAGGACCGGCUAAUUCCGUGCC
rnacentral:rRNA from 1 species